rnacentral:rRNA from 1 species
AUUGAACGCUGGCGGAAUGCUUUACACAUGCAAGUCGAACGGCAGCACGGGGCAACCUGGUGGCGAGUGGCGAACGGGUGAGUAAUACAUCGGAACGUGCCCAAUCGUGGGGGAUAACGUAGCGAAAGUUACGCUAAUACCGCAUACGAUCUACGGAUGAAAGCGGGGGAUCGCAAGACCUCGCGCGAAUGGAGCGGCCGAUGUCAGAUUAGGUAGUUGGUGGGGUAAAGGCUCACCAAGCCAACGAUCUGUAGCUGGUCUGAGAGGACGACCAGCCACACUGGAACUGAGACACGGUCCAGACUCCUACGGGAGGCAGCAGUGGGGAAUUUUGGACAAUGGGCGCAAGCCUGAUCCAGCCAUUCCGCGUGCAGGAUGAAGGCCUUCGGGUUGUAAACUGCUUUUGUACGGUAACGAAACGGUCUGCCCUAAUACGGCGGGCUAAUGACGGUACCGUAAGAAUAAGCACCGGCUAACUACGUGCCAGCAGCCGCGGUAAACUCGUCU